ensembl:misc_RNA Metazoa_SRP Metazoan signal recognition particle RNA
GCUGGGCGUGGUGGCGGGCGCCUGUAAUCCCAGCUACUCAGGAAGCUGAGACAGGAGAAUCACUUGAGCCCAGGAGGCUGAGGUUGCAGUGAGCCAAAAUCAUGCCAUUGCACUCCAAUCUGGGCAACAGAGCAAGACUCUGUCUCAA